GGAAGCUGUGCCUGAACAUUUAAGGAUUACUUUGAUAGAGUACACUACAGGGGCUAAACUCCCCUCACUUCCU
rnacentral:tRNA from 1 species